CAGCCUUUGCUAAUUUGCAUGUACCCAGAGCACAGCCCACUACCCUCAGGACUCCUACAUAGCCAGGUCACAUCCUGUGCUAUAGUCACACUCACACAGGUCCCAGCAAAGACAUGAGGGCCCCCACUCAGCUAUUUGGGUUACUGCUGCUCUGGCUUACAGGUGUCAGAUGUGACAUCCAGAUGACACAGUCUCCAGCCUCACUGUCUGUGUCUCUGGGAGAAAGUGUCACCAUGACAUGCCAGGCAAGUCAGUACAUUGCUACUCUGUUAGCAUGGUAUCAGCAGAAACCAGGGAAACCUCCUCAGCUCCUCAUCUAUGGUGCAAAUAGGUUGGUAGAUGGGGUCUCAUCAAGAUUCAGUGGCAGUGGAUCUGGAACACAGUUUUCUCUCAAGAUCAAUGGCUUGCAGCCUGAAGAUGUGGCCACUUAUUACUGUGAGCAGGGUAUCACUUUACCUCUCACAGUGAUUCAAGCCAUGACAUAA